rnacentral:rRNA from 1 species
CAGCCUUGUUGGUGAGNGUAAUGGCUCACCCAAGGCGACGACNGGGUAGCCNGGCCUGAGAGNGGUGACCGNGCCACACUNGGGACUGAGACACGGCCCAGACUCCUACGGGAGGCAGCAGUGGGGAAUAUUGCACAAUGGGCGAAAGCCUGAUGCAGCAACGCCGCGUGAGGGAUGACGGCCUUCGGGUUGUAAACCUCUUUUAGUAGGGAAGAAGCGAGAGUGACGGUACCUGCAGAAAAAGCACCGGCUAACUACGUGCCAGCAGCCGCGGUAAUACGUAGGGUGCAAGCGUUGUCCGGAAUUAUUGGGCGUAAAGAGCUCGUAGGCGGUUUGUCGCGUCUGCUGUGAAAUCCCGAGGCUCAACCUCGGGCUUGCAGUGGGUACGGGCAGACUAGAGUGCGGUAGGGGAGAUUGGAAUUCCUGGUGUAGCGGUGGAAUGCGCAGAUAUCAGGAGGAACACCGAUGGCGAAGGCAGAUCUCUGGGCCGUAACUGACGCUGAGGAGCGAAAGCAUGGGGAGCGAACAGGAUUAGAUACCCUGGUAGUCCAUGCCGU